rnacentral:lncRNA from 1 species
GUUUCCAGGCGCCCCUUUUUUGGAACUCAGGUGCGAAAUCUUACUUUUUCCUUUUCCUUUUUCAGGAGAUGUGAUAUUUAGGUCUACUGAGUGCUGUGAAGGAUUAUGCAAGUGUAUGGAACAUUCCUUGUGCCUUUUAAACUAGCCACCACUGAUUAUCACGGAGAGAGAAAUGAAGCCAGAAUGGAGAGGAAGAUGAGGUCGGAACCUCCCAGCCGAUUACAGGCAUGAAGUCAGCUCUCAGGUCUCAAGAGGACUGCUGUAAAUGAUGAGUGACUCACAGCCACUGACUUGGAAAAGAAGAAAACUGGCUGACCUUCCUGCUACUUAUCUUCUGCCCUUCCGUCGAAACCAGACACUCUCACCUGGAAAGUAUGCAUCGUCUUCAAACGUGAUGCUCCAUCACCGUUUCAACCCGACCUAUGGCUCGAGCAGCUGUUUAUGUUCCUCAGACCUCUACCUAGCAUUUUUUUUAAUGAAGGAGACCAGUGUGAUGUAGUGGAAAGAACUAUGUGGUGAGAAUGAAGAAAUGUAGCUUCUCAUUCUGGCAAAGACACUUUCACCCAGUAGGUACUAGGAGGUAACUUA